rnacentral:rRNA from 1 species
GACGAACGCUGGCGGCGUGGAUUAGGCAUGCAAGUCGAACGGUAUCAUCCUUUCGGGGGUGAGAGAGUGGCGAACUGGUGAGUAACACGUAGGUUAUCUACCCUCAAGACGGGGACAACCCAGGGAAACUUGGGCUAAUACCGGAUGUGAGCAACUUUUAGUUGUUUGAAAGGUGGCGUAAGCUGUCGCUUGGGGAUGAGCCUGCGUCCUAUUAGUUAGUUGGUGAGGUAACGGCUCACCUAGGCAAUGAUAGGUAGGCGGCCUUAACGGGUGGUCGCCCACACUGGGAUUGAGAUACGGCCCAGACUCCUACGGGAGGCAGCAGUCGAGAAUAGUCUACAAUGGUCGGAAGACUGAUAGUGCGACGCCGCGUGAACGAUGAAUCCCUUCGGGGUGUAAAGUUCUUUUAUAUGUGAGCAGUGCUUCUUAUAUUAACAGUAUGGGGAGAGAGAUAUUAGCAUAUGAAUAAGCAACGGCUAAACUCCGUGCCAGCAGCCGCGGUAAUA